GAUGAACGCUGGCGGCGUGCUUAACACAUGCAAGUCGAACGCUGAAGCCCAGCUUGCUGGGUGGUUUAGUGGCAAACGAUUGGUUAAGACGUGAGGAACCUGCCCGUAACUCUGGGAUAAGCCUGGGGGACUGGGCCUAAUACCGGAUGUGAGCGCCUACCGCAUGGUGGUUGUGGGAGAGAUUUAUCGGUUUUGGAUGUACUCGCGGCCGAUCAGCUGGUUGGUGAGGUAAUGGCUAGCCGAGGCGACGACGGGUAGCCGGCCUGAGAGGGUGACCGGCCACACUGGGACUGAGACACGGCCCAGACUCCUACGGGAGGCAGCAGUGGGGAAUAUUGCACAAUGGGCGAAAGCCUGAUGCAGCGACGCCGCGUGAGGGAUGACGGCCUUCGGGUUGUAAACCUCUUUCAGUAGGGAAGAAGCGAAAGUGACGGUACCUGCAGAAGAAGCACCGGCUAACUACGUG
rnacentral:rRNA from 1 species